rnacentral:rRNA from 1 species
CCUACGGGAGGCAGCAGUAGGGAAUUUUCGGCAAUGGGGGGAACCCUGACCGAGCAACGCCGCGUGAACGAAGAAGUUAUUCGUAAUGUAAAGUUCUUUUAACAGGGAAGAAAGAGAAAUUUGACGGUACCUGAAGAAUAAGCCCCGGCUAACUACGUGCCAGCAGCCGCGGUAAUACGUAGGGAGCGAGCGUUAUCCGGAAUCAUUGGGCGAAAAGGGUGCGUGGAUGGCUUAGUAAGUCUUUUGUAAAAAUGCUGGGCUAAACCCAGUAGGGCAAAAGAUACUGCAAAGCUAGAGUAUGACAGAGGCAAGUGGAACUAGAUGUGUAGCGGUAAAAUGCGUAAAUAUAUGUAAGAACACCAGUGGCGAAGGCAGCUUACUGGGUCGAUACUGACAUUGAGGCACGAAAGCGUGGGGAGCAAACAGGAUUAGAUACCCGAGUAGUC